UGGCUCAGAUUGAACGCUGGCGGCAGGCCUAACACAUGCAAGUCGAACGGUAACAGGAAGCAGCUUGCUGCUUCGCUGACGAGUGGCGGACGGGUGAGUAAUGUCUGGGAAACUGCCUGAUGGAGGGGGAUAACUACUGGAAACGGUGGCUAAUACCGCAUAACGUCGCAAGACCAAAGAGGGGGACCUUCGGGCCUCUUGCCAUCAGAUGUGCCCAGAUGGGAUUAGCUUGUUGGUGAGGUAACGGCUCACCAAGGCGACGAUCCCUAGCUGGUCUGAGAGGAUGACCAGCCACACUGGAACUGAGACACGGUCCAGACUCCUACGGGAGGCAGCAGUGGGGAAUAUUGCACAAUGGGCGCAAGCCUGAUGCAGCCAUGCCGCGUGUAUGAAGAAGGCCUUCGGGUUGUAAAGUACUUUCAGCGGGGAGGAAGGUGUUGUGGUUAAUAACCGCAGCAAUUGACGUUACCCGCAGAAGAAGCACCGGCUAACUCCGUGCCAGCAGCCGCGGUAAUACGGAGGGUGCAAGCGUUAAUCGGAAUUACUGGGCGUAAAGCGCACGCAGGCGGUCUGUCAAGUCGGAUGUGAAAUCCCCGGGCUCAACCUGGGAACUGCAUUCGAAACUGGCAGGCUUGAGUCUUGUAGAGGGGGGUAGAAUUCCAGGUGUAGCGGUGAAAUGCGUAGAGAUCUGGAGGAAUACCGGUGGCGAAGGCGGCCCCCUGGACAAAGACUGACGCUCAGGUGCGAAAGCGUGGGGAGCAAACAGGAUUAGAUACCCUGGUAGUCCACGCCGUAAACGAUGUCUACUUGGAGGUUGUGCCCUUGAGGCGUGGCUUCCGGAGCUAACGCGUUAAGUAGACCGCCUGGGGAGUACGGCCGCAAGGUUAAAACUCAAAUGAAUUGACGGGGGCCCGCACAAGCGGUGGAGCAUGUGGUUUAAUUCGAUGCAACGCGAAGAACCUUACCUGGUCUUGACAUCCACGGAAGGUCUCAGAGAUGAGACUGUGCCUUCGGGAGCCGUGAGACAGGUGCUGCAUGGCUGUCGUCAGCUCGUGUUGUGAAAUGUUGGGUUAAGUCCCGCAACGAGCGCAACCCUUAUCCUUUGUUGCCAGCGGUUAGG
rnacentral:rRNA from 1 species